GGGGAUUUAGCUCAGUGGUAGAGCGCUUGCCUAGCAAGCACAAGGCCCUGGGUUCAGUUCCCAACUCCA
rnacentral:tRNA from 1 species